GACGAACGCUGGCGGCGUGCUUAACACAUGCAAGUCGAGCGGAGCGGCGAACGGGUGAGUAACGCGUUAGUAACUGCCCCCCUCUCUGGGAUAACAGUUGGAAACGGCUGCUAAUACCGGAUAGUGGGGGAUGACUCGCGUCCUAUCAGCUUGUUGGUUGGGUAGUGGCCUACCAAGGCGACGACGGGUAGCCGGCCUGAGAGGGCGACCGGCCACAGUGGGAUGGGAGACGGCCCAAUCGGUUACAGGAGGAAGAAGUGGAGAAUAAUGCAAAAUGGGGGAAACAGUGAUGCAGGAAGGCCGAGGAAGGGAUGACGGACUACGGGUUGUAAACCGCUUUCGGCCAUGACGCGGUAGUGGCAGAAGAAGCACCGGCUAACUACGUGCCAGCAGCCGCGGUUAGUC
rnacentral:rRNA from 1 species